UACGGGGGGUGCGAGCGUUGUCCGGAAUCACUGGGCGUAAAGGGCGCGUAGGUGGUCUGAUAAGGGUGUGGUGAAAGCCCGGGGCUCAACCCCGGGUCGGCCGUGCCGACUGUUAGACUAGAGUGCUGUAGGGGCAGGCGGAAUUCCGGGUGUAGCGGUGGAAUGCGUAGAUAUUAGGAGGAAUACCAGUAGCGAAGGCGGCUCUCUGGACUGUAACUGACACUGAGGCACGAAAGCGUGGGGAGCGAACAGG
rnacentral:rRNA from 1 species